rnacentral:rRNA from 1 species
AUUGAACGCUGGCGGCAGGCCUAACACAUGCAAGUCGAACGGUAACAGGAAGAAGCUUGCUUCUUUGCUGACGAGUGGCGGACGGGUGAGUCAUGUCUGGGAAACUGCCUGAUGGAGGGGGAUAACUACUGGAAACGGUAGCUAAUACCGCAUAACGUCGCAAGACCAAAGAGGGGGACCUUCGGGCCUCUUGCCAUCGGAUGUGCCCAGAUGGGAUUAGCUAGUAGGUGGGGUAACGGCUCACCUAGGCGACGAGCCCUAGCUGGUCUGAGAGGAUGACCAGCCACACUGGAACUGAGACACGGUCCAGACUCCUACGGGAGGCAGCAGUGGGGAAUAUUGCACAAUGGGCGCAAGCCUGAUGCAGCCAUGCCGCGUGUAUGAAGAAGGCCUUCGGGUUGUAAAGUACUUUCAGCGGGGAGGAAGGGAGUAAAGUUAAUACCUUUGCUCAUUGACGGUACCCGCAGAAGAAGCACCGGCUAACUCCGUG